rnacentral:SRP_RNA from 1 species
GUCGGGUGCGGUGGUGCAUGCCUGUAGUCCCAGCUACUCAGGAGGCUGAGGUGGGAGAAUUGCUUGAGCCCAGGAGUUCUGGGCUAUAGUGUGCUAUGCUGAUCGGCUGUCCGCACUAAGUUCGGCAUCAAUAUGGUGACCUCCCGGGAGCGGGGGACCACCAGGUUGCCUAAGGUGGGGUGAACUGGCCCAGGUCAGAAAUGGAGUAGGUCAAAACUCCCAUGCCGACCAGUAGUGAGAUCGCACCUGUGAAUAGCCACUGCACUCCAGCUUGGGUAACACAGUGAGACCCCAUCUCU